CAUUAGACAAGAGUAAGUUAAAGCAAGGAGUAUAUUGCUCUAUAUAUAAUCAAAUUAAGAUGAAGGACAUCACUUUUGUUUUUAUUGUUCUGUUGGUUCUUUCCAUUGGAAUUGAAAAUGAAGGGCCAUUGAAGUUGAUAGAAGCAAGAACGUGCGAAGAAACACUGUAUGAGUUUAGCUGUGUAAGUAACAAAUGUGGCACUGAUUGUCGCAAUAAACAUGGAAACUUUGCAAGUGGUGAUUGCAAUGCCAUUGAAGAUUGCAUAUGUCGCUAUCCAUGUUAAUAAAUGUUUGACCUUUUUACAACAUUGUCCUCAUAGAAAAUGUUGUUUUAUAUGUAACCGCGGCAAUGAUGGAAUUAAAGAAAAUAAAGUUACUCACCAUAUUUAUUCCU